UUUCUUUUUUCUUAAAACUAUAUCUAAUCCCUUCAUUGAUGUGAUGACAAAUUCAAUCCGGCCCCAACCCCCAAAGAAAAAGUGAUAUAAUGACAAAGUUUACAAGAAAAAUUUUGGAAAACGAUCUUCUUACACAAAGAAACGUGUCAAAAAGAUGCACUUGUGGGCCUUUCGACGAUGGUGUUAUGUUUCUUCCCACAAAAUAUCACAGCCUGAGGUCCCUCUACCACAUUUUCUUUCUUCAGUUCUCAUCUCUAAUAGUGUCUCAAAUACUUAUCAAAAACAAAGUUACGAAUAUAAAAAUAAAUACAAAACCUUGCAAUACCUUACACACCAACCCCCACGAUCCUCACCCACACCCAUCAUUGUACAUUUACUAGUGCUGUCUUUGUGGGAUCACAACAUUCAAUAUUUAUCCUCUUUUUUACAUCUAAGAAUAUAAUAUCCUCUUGUGACAUGAAGCGUGCCUGGAUCUCCAAAAGAAAAAAUACCAUAUCCAAUUUUUUUUCUGAAAUCUUUGGUGCAAGGUGUCCUUGCGCAUUAAAAACAUCCACACGUCACAACUGCCACUACAGUCCAUCGCUACUCUCUCUCGCAUUGUGUGGAGUCGCCACCCAACGCCACCGCGUGGCCGUUGCUCUCUCUAUAAAUCUCUCCCUCCAUUUGUUGUUUUCCCACGCCAUUGCAUCGGAGCAGUGCCACCCUCCCCCUUUCUUUGAAACCAUUAGUUCGUUAAUUUGCUUUUAAAAGCAAAACCAAAUCUAGACCAAGCUAAAGAAAUACUCAUAAAAAUUGGAAGGAAAUCCGCAUAAUUCGGCGACACGGAUCUCGAUGCUCCGCCUGCGGUCCGCCUCGUUCCCAUUUGUAGCCGCCGCAGACCGGGGAACGCGCCCUCUUUCCCUCCCCGCGCUCACCGGCGACCCGUGAGGAGAUGCCCUCCCUCGCCAUGCCGCCCUCCAUCCGGCCGCCACCUCCGACGCCCAGGGUGGGGAUCUCCGCUCCGCUGGACAACGUCGGGCGGUGGCGACGGACCAUUGGGUUGGUCCCCGCCCGACCCCGCCCCCUCCCCCCGAUCCUCGCCGUGGGCAAAGAGAUCACCGAGACCGUCGAGAUCGCCUCCGCCGGAGCCUCCAAUGGCUCCGUCUCAGGGAAAAAGAAUGCUGUGAUGUCUACUGUUGGGAAUUCAACAAACAUUGUAUGGCAUGAAUGUCCGGUUGGGAAGCUCGAAAGGCAGAAGUUGCUCAAGCAGAAGGGAUGUGUAAUAUGGAUCACAGGUCUCAGUGGUUCAGGCAAAAGCACAUUGGCAUGUGCACUGAGUCGUGAGUUGUACAGCAGAGGAUACCUGACGUAUGUUCUUGAUGGUGACAAUCUUAGACAUGGACUAAAUCGAGAUCUUGGUUUCAAAGCAGAAGACCGUGCAGAAAAUAUACGCAGAGUUGGGGAAUUAGCAAAGCUCUUUGCAGAUGCUGGUGUUAUAUGCAUAGCCAGCUUGAUAUCUCCAUAUAGAAGAGAUCGUGAUGGCUGCCGUGCUCUACUGCCAGAUUCUACGUUUAUUGAGGUAUUCAUGAAUGUUCCACUAGAAGUUUGUGAAGCAAGGGACCCAAAAGGCUUGUACAAACUUGCACGCACAGGAAAGAUCAAAGGUACACAUAAGAAAUUGAUUAGGUUGUUGAUCUGGGGUCUUGGAGGUGAUGCUUGAUAAGUGGUUUUACUGGGAUAGAUGAUCCUUAUGAGCCACCCUUGGACUGUGAGAUAGCUAUAGAAGCAAAAGCUGGGGAAUGCCCUUCUCCAGUAGCCAUGGCCGAGCAAGUGAUAUCAUACCUCAACGAGAAUGGCUUCCUGCAGGCAUAAAUGUAAUUGCAUUUUGUCCACAACUCGUGGACCUAUUCAAAGCUGUUUUUGGCUCUGCAGAUAUAUCCGUGGAAACAACUGUUUAAGUUGUAUUAUUUGGCAUUGUAGACUACAAUAAGGCACAAGAAACAGCCACCUGCCUGCCUGGAGUUGCCUUGUAAUAAUAUGUGCAUUUCUUCAGAUGUAAUCAUGUGCCCCAUUAGCUUGUCAAAUCAGUUUGCAGCUCGCAGACUUUAGCAUAGACUUUGUGUUUUUAGGCCCUUUCCACAUCUGUGUACAAGAGUUGUACAUGUAGUUCAAUUUCUUAAGGCAAUGCUUUAUCAGACUUGCUAUGUACCAUAAUGUACACUAGGAUGCAAUGGCUUGUAAGCAUUGGAUGUUUGAGUUGGAAUAAAGAGGCUACAAUUGUUUGCCCCA